ensembl:lncRNA
AAAAAGUGUGAUUUCAGCCCGAGGAGGAAGAGCGCCAUGAAGCAGAGGAAUUGCAUGAAAACGGUACACGAGACGCGCGGCGCGAGCGACGCGACGUGACGUCACGGGACGGUUGUGGCUGCACGUGAGCGCGCGUCCGGGGGCGCGCACCUCGCACCUCGCGUCGGUGGUGUAAAACCGCACGUACGGUGAAGUUGGAGCGACAGCCCCGGUCCCCACCACGUCACUCGGCACAAGAGGAUGCUGCUGCCGCGGUCGCCGCUGCUGUUAGUGCUCCGUGGGGCCCGAACCGAGGUGUCCGGAGGAUGAAGGCCACCUGGGUGUCCACCUGAACGCAGGACGGCUGGAAACGUUCCCUUAUCGUGUUCCGCGAGGGUUCCAGAAGUCCCGGUUCUCUGAUAACAGCUCCGUUCAAUAUCGCGGACAACCAGGCCACCAUCAUCACCACCAGCCCAGCGUCUUCAUAUCUGACUUCCUUCACAGGCAGAAACGUUUAAAAAAAAACUACACACAUAACAACUUAUUUAACUUGGAGAAGUCAGCAUAUGAACGAUCAGGAUUUUUCCCCCAGUCCAUCAAUUCUGAGGAUUUCUAUACUCAGAUUAUUGUAUUUAUUUUGGUAAAAAUGUUUGUUACUGAUUAUAGAGAUGAGAAAAACCCAACAUAUUUUUAUACAGCUUUAUUAUUAUUUAAUAUUGCAAUAUUAUUAUCCUUGUAUGAAGGGCCAGUCCCACACUGCAGCAAAAAACCCUGGUGAAGUUAAAUAUGUGAGAUGUCUGUAGUUAAGUGUGAUUUGCGUCAUCAUCAUCAUCAUCAUCAUCAUCCUCUGCUAAUGAAAUCAUCCGGCCUGAGUGCCAGCCUGGUGAGGAGCACUGUGAGAGGACAGCGGUGAUGAACGGGCCCAGCCCCCCCGGGGGGUUUCAGCACACCGUCUCGGGUCUUUAAUCACAGCUCUAGAGCUCGUUUGGCUCUAAUCGGGGUCGCGAUGGCGACCCACGUUUAUCCGAGGCUACGUCACUUCUCACUCAUGGUUUUACGCGGAACGUCAGGGUCAGAGGUGAACUUGUUACCCACCACAUUCCGACAUUCCUCCAGCCUGAAGCGUUGGGGUCAAAUUUCAGAAGUGUCCAGACACGCAGCAGCCGCGGCUGAUGGAUG